rnacentral:rRNA from 1 species
GCAUAUCAAUAAGCGGAGGAAAAGAAACUAACAAGGAUUCCCCUAGUAACGGCGAGUGAAGCGGGAAGAGCUCAAAUUUGAAAUCUGGCGGCAUCCUGUCGUCCGAGUUGUAAUCUAUAGAAGUGUUUUCCGCGGCGGACCAUGUACAAGUCCCUUGGAACAGGGCGUCAUAGAGGGUGAGAAUCCCGUCCUUGACAUGAUCUCCGGUUGCUAUGUGAUACACUUUCAACGAGUCGAGUUGUUUGGGAAUGCAGCUCAAAAUGGGUGGUGAAUUCCAUCUAAAGCUAAAUAUUGGCGAGAGACCGAUAGCGAACAAGUACCGUGAGGGAAAGAUGAAAAGCACUUUGGAAAGAGAGUUAAACAGUACGUGAAAUUGUUGAAAGGGAAACGAUUGAAGUCAGUCAUGCUCUUUGGGUUAAGCCUUUCGGGGUGUAUUCCAUUGAGUGGGGUCAACAUCAGUUUUGACCGCUGGAAAAAGGCACGAGGAAGGUAGCACUCUCGGGUGAACUUAUAGCCUCGCGUCAUAUGCAGUGGUUGGGACUGAGGAACGCAGCAUGCCUUAUGGCCGGGAUUCGUCCACGUACAUGCUUAGGAUGUUGACAUAAUGGCUUUAAACGACCCGUCUUGAAACACGGACC